GUGAAAUUGAACUCGCUGUGAAGAUGCAGUGUACCCGCGGCAAGACGGAAAGACCCCGUGAACCUUUACUAUAGCUUGACACUGAACAUUGAGCCUUGAUGUGUAGGAUAGGUGGGAGGCUUUGAAGCGUGGACGCCAGUCUGCGUGGAGCCGACCUUGAAAUACCACCCUUUAAUGUUUGAUGUUCUAACGUGGACCCGUAAUCCGGGUUGCGGACAGUGUCUGGUGGGUAGUUUGACUGGGGCGGUCUCCUCCUAAAGAGUAACGGAGGA
rnacentral:rRNA from 6 species